rnacentral:rRNA from 1 species
CCUACGGGUGGCAGCAGUGAGGAAUAUUGGUCAAUGGACGAGAGUCUGAACCAGCCAAGUAGCGUGAAGGAUGACUGCCCUAUGGGUUGUAAACUUCUUUUAUAUGGGAAUAAAACGUUCCACGUGUGGGAUUUUGUAUGUACCAUAUGAAUAAGGAUCGGCUAACUCCGUGCCAGCAGCCGCGGUAAUACGGAGGAUCCGAGCGUUAUCCGGAUUUAUUGGGUUUAAAGGGAGCGUAGGUGGAUUGUUAAGUCAGUUGUGAAAGUUUGCGGCUCAACCGUAAAAUUGCAGUUGAAACUGGCAGUCUUGAGUACAGUAGAGGUGGGCGGAAUUCGUGGUGUAGCGGUGAAAUGCUUAGAUAGCACGAAGAACUCCGAUUGCGAAGGCAGUUCACUGGACUGCAACUGACACUGAGGCUCGAAAGUGUGGGUAUCAAACAGGAUUAGAUACCCCUGUAGUC